UACGUAGGGGGCAAGCGUUGUCCGGAAUUAUUGGGCGUAAAGAGCGUGUAGGCGGUCCGGUAAGUCCGUUGUGAAAGUCAGGGGCUCAACCCUUGAAUGCCGGCGGAUACUGUCGGGCUAGAGUCCGGAAGAGGCGAGUGGAAUUCCCGGUGUAGCGGUGAAAUGCGCAGAUAUCGGGAGGAACACCUAUGGCGAAGGCAGCUCGCUGGGACGGCACUGACGCUGAGACGCGAAAGCGUGGGGAGCAAACAGG
rnacentral:rRNA from 1 species